GAUGAACAUGACUUGACAAAACAUGUAUAGAUUCAGAAAAUUAAAGACUCAAAGCAUAAUAUGAACCAAAAUAAUGAAAGCAAUAAAGACUCAAAGCCUAAAAGAAAAUAGCAACACAAAGGUGUAUGGAAUCCUAUCACAAAUUGCACAAGAACUUGUUCAAGAUCAAAUGAACAAGAGUGCUUCGGUUGGAUCUUCCACAAAGCACACCAAGAACAA
rnacentral:lncRNA from 1 species